GACGUAGGAGGCGAGCGUUGUCCGGAUUUACUGGGCGUAAAGCGCGUGUAGGCGGCUUUGCAAGUCGGGUGUGAAAGCCCCUCAGCUCAACUGAGGAAGUGCGCCCGAAACUGCAGAGCUUGAGUGCCGGAGAGGGUGGCGGAAUUCCCCAAGUAGAGGUGAAAUUCGUAGAUAUGGGGAGGAACACCGGUGGCGAAGGCGGCCACCUGGACCGGUUCUGACGCUGAGGAGCGAAAGCGUGGGGAGCGAACAGG
rnacentral:rRNA from 1 species